rnacentral:rRNA from 1 species
UUCCUACGGGGGGCAGCAGUGAGGAAUAUUGGUCAAUGGGCGGGAGCCUGAACCAGCCAAGUCGCGUGAGGGACGACGGUCCUAUGGAUUGUAAACCUCUUUUGUCGGGGAACAAAGGCGCCCACGGGUGGGCGGAUGAGUGUACCCGAAGAAAAAGCAUCGGCUAACUCCGUGCCAGCAGCCGCGGUAAUACGGAGGAUGCGAGCGAUAUCCCGAUUUAUUGGGUUUAAAGUGGGCGUAGGCGCACAGUCAUGUCAUCGGUAAAUACGCGGUGC